UACGUAGGGGACAAGCGUUGUUCGGAAUUAUUGGGCGUAAAGGGCGCGUAGGCGGACUUGUAAGUCGGUUGUGAAAUCCCUGGGCUCAACCCGGGAACUGCAGUCGAAACUGCAAGUCUUGAAUGCUCGAGAGGAUGGUAGAAUUCCUGGUGUAGCGGUGGAAUGCGCAGAUAUCAGGAGGAACACCGAUGGCGAAGGCAGGUCUCUGGGCCAUUACUGACACUGAGAAGCGAAAGCAUGGGGAGCGAACAGG
rnacentral:rRNA from 1 species